UGGCGGCAGGCUUAACACAUGCAAGUCGAGCGGUAGCAGAUCUAGCUUGCUAGAUGCUGACGAGCGGCGGACGGGUGAGUAACGCGUAGGAACCUGCCCAGUAGUGGGGGAUAGCCCGGGGAAACUCGGAUUAAUACCGCAUACGCUCUACGGAGGAAAGAGGGGGCUUCGGCUCUCGCUAUUGGAUGGGCCUGCGUGAGAUUAGCUAGUUGGUGAGGUAAUGGCUCACCAAGGCGACGAUCUCUAGCUGGUCAGAGAGGAUGAUCAGCCACACUGGGACUGAGACACGGCCCAGACUCCUACGGGAGGCAGCAGUGGGGAAUAUUGCACAAUGGGCGCAAGCCUGAUGCAGCCAUGCCGCGUGUGUGAAGAAGGCUUUCGGGUUGUAAAGCACUUUCAGUGGGGAGGAAGGCCUCGUAGUUAAUAGCUGCGAGGAUUGACGUUACCCACAGAAGAAGCACCGGCCAACUCCGUG
rnacentral:rRNA from 1 species